rnacentral:lncRNA from 1 species
UAAUACUGACUCAAUUCUCUUAAUAUAGUAAGUAAAAUAGCUGUCCGACCCUAUAAGGCUCGGUAUAUAUAUAUAUAUCUGCUCUGUCGCAGUAGGCUCGCUCAUAAGCGCUCGGCCAUACUAGGCUCUGUAUCUCGACCAACUAGGCUAGCCCAUAUGCGCUCGGCCACAGUAGGAUCGUCAUAUAACUUACCAUCUGAUCAGAGGUUACUCAAUAGGAGUCUGCCCAUCGAUUAUAGCUCGAUGGUAAUAAAAAUACUUUUAAUACUGUAUAUAUGUAACUUCUCUGCUCUCUUGACUGGAAGAAGGAAAUACUCAACUGAAUAUGAAGUCCUGAAAAGAAGAAUAUGGUAACUUACAAAACUAGGAAAAUAUUAACCUCCUGCAUGUAUUUAAAGUAGUUGCCUAUAAUAACACUUGCAGUACUAAUCAUAUAUGAGCCUUUUGUCAACCUAAAUUUCUUAAUCAUAUGACGAAGGCAGUAGUAUUUCCCAGGAGGUUGCACCUAAUUUUGUGCAUAAGACUAACUUAUAUUUGGUUCUUUAUUUGUUUCACUUCUUUCUAGGAAUAUCAUGGAUACCUUUAAUUGAAAAGGUUCUGUUGUACAUUCAAACAUGAAAUGCAAAUUAACAAUUGGUUUUAUGAACACGCUUCCCGUUAUUAGAGGGAAAAGUAUAUAUACAGGACUACUUAUUUAAAUAGACAAAUAUACGUAAAUUCCGGGAUAUGAAUUUUUCCUUAUACUUCGUUAUCAAACUUGUGUAAUGACAAGAUCAUGCCAAAAUGAAGGAAGAGCUUAGCCUUAACAUACCUUUCUCUUGAAUUAUUUGAACGAAUCUGCUUUUGCGAAAUUUACAUCUGGAUGAACUUAAAAUCUCGGACGAAAUUAUUCUGCUUCUAACGUUUUUGAACGAAAUGUUGGCUAAGGAUUGAAUUGAAAUUAGACAAAUUUAACUUACUUGGAUUUGUUGAAGUUGAACUUUGCUUGGAUUUAAACAUUUUGACGAAAAGAUUCUGCCUUUUNN